GUCUGGAGAUUGAUUAUGCUAAUUUUUUACGUGGAAGCAAUUUUCAGAUACAGCUACUUCCUAUCUGCGUAUAGUUUGAAAUUGACAACUCGUAGUACACGGACGUUUGGAGAAAAAAUCUCUAGCUAGACAAACUGGUUUGUGGGUUUUUAAAUUCUCUAUGUGCAUUAUCUUUUCGUAUUUAGAUUCUUCAAAACCUUUGC
rnacentral:lncRNA from 1 species